CAAUUGGAAAAUUAUACAGUUUGUCAAAAUCUAUUUUAUCUUAUUAUACUUAUAUAAGAUACAGUUUUCACUCUGUUCAUCUCAGAGUUUUCAUUCACAUAUCUUGAGGUCAGAGGUCAAGGGACCCCUUUGAAAAUGGCUAUGCCAGUGUUCCCCUUGCCAAAAUUAAGCUCAAUUUUUGAGCGUUAUUUAGCCUCCUUCCCAACAAGCCAGUAUGAAAUGGUUGGUACCAAUGGAUUCCUUAGGUUUUUUAGUUUCAUAUGAUACCAGUAUCUUCACUCUAACUGAGCCUGAUACAACCUAAAAUGCAAGUUGCGUUAAUGCGUUAAAGAAAUUAGUAUCGUUAAAACUAAU